rnacentral:rRNA from 1 species
UGCGUAGGCGGUUCGUUAAGUCUGACGUGAAAUCCCCGGGCUCAACCUGGGACGUGCGUUGGAAACUGGCGAUCUAGAGUACGGUAGAGGGUGGUGGAAUUCCCGGUGUAGCAGUGAAAUGCGUAGAUAUUAGGAGGAACACCAGUGGCGAAGGCGACUUUCUGGACUGUAACUGACGCUGAGGCUCGAAAGCGUGGGGAGCGAACAGGAUUAGAUACCCCUGUA